UGUGACGUCAGGUGAGAAGGGAGGGCCCGU
rnacentral:piRNA from 1 species